UACGGAGGGUGCGAGCGUUGUCCGGAAUCACUGGGCGUAAAGGGCGCGUGAGGCGGCGCGGAUAGUCGGCGGUGAAAGCCCGGAGCUCAACUCCGGGUCGGCCGUCGAUACUUCCGGGCUUGAGCACUGUAGAGGCAGAUGGAAUUCCGGGUGUAGCGGUGGAAUGCGUAGAGAUCCGGAAGAACACCGGUGGCGAAGGCGGUCUGCUGGGCAGUUGCUGACGCUGAUGCGCGACAGCGUGGGGAGCAAACAGG
rnacentral:rRNA from 1 species